rnacentral:misc_RNA from 1 species
GAAAGAAAGAGUGAGGGAGCCUAUAAAUACUUAGCACUGAGCACUUAGAUCUUCUUCAGUGGUGCUUUGGCCAACAAAGAUACACUUUCUUAAAUGACACUCUCAUUCUCCCUUCUUGCUUAGGAAAAAGAAACAACUCUGCUGGGUUUUAGAGGGAAAAUUACAGUAAACAUCCAAGAAAGAGAAAAUGUUUGCAGGAGAAAAUGGUCUGCAAGGAGACCCAAGAUUGAAGGCCAUAUCAGAUGCCAUAAGAGUAGUCCCCCAUUUCCCUAAACCAGGAAUUAUGUUUCAAGACAUAACCACACUGUUACUUGAUCACAAGGCUUUUAAAGACACUGUGGAUAUUUUUGUUGAUCGCUAUAGAGAUAUGGAUAUCUCUGUUGUUGCAGGAGUAGAAGCCAGAGGCUUUUUAUUUGGCCCUUCAAUUGCAUUAGCUAUUGGUGCUAAGUUUGUCCCUCUACGUAAACCUAAAAAGUUGCCAGGAGAAGUCAUUUCUGAAAAAUACGUACUUGAAUAUGGCAACGAUUGUCUCGAGAUGCACGUUGGUGAUGUUAACCAUGGGGAACGUGCUAUUAUCAUUGAUGAUUUAGUUGCCACUGGUGGAACACUCUCUGCAGCAAUAACACUAUUAGAACGCGUUGGAGCUGAAGUUGUAGAAUGUGCAUGCGUUAUUGGGUUGCCUGAGUUCAAGGGAAAGUGCAGACUAAACGGGAAGCCACUGUACAUUCUUGUGGAGCCACGCCAGUAAACAAAUUGAUCUGGUAGUUUCAUGUUCUCUUGAUGCAAAAAGCUUAUACAAUUAGGAUUACGGCUUAGUUAAUUAGACUUUAACCCUUAAUUUUUAGCAUAAAUUGCACCAGUAUAAUUCAUGUUCAUCAACAGCCAGGUUUGAUGCAAAAAAAGUGAAAACUUCCCACUACACCAUAUAUAUAUAGAUAUAUGUAACCUUAGAUGCAAUAAUUUUGAGCUUUUUCUCAUCCUGACAAUUUCACUUUCUUUCUCCAGUUUACAGAAUUAAUUGCGCAUUACAGCUGAAAAUCUCCCAUUAUGUGCUUCUCUCCACCACUUUGAACAAAGUCGCUUUCUGAUGUUUUUCCUUUCCCUCCUUUGUAAUUCCCUGCUAACAGAAAUAAUUUUCAAGAAGAUGCAUUUACGCUUUCAGUUUAUGUUGGUCUGUUCCAGGCAUUGGUUGCCAUUUGCCGUUGAUUGAAAUUGUCAAAUUUUGCCUCUUCAUAAGAAAAUCAUAAGCAGCGACCCAGCAAGAAUCAAAU